rnacentral:tRNA from 1 species
GGAGGAGUGGCUGAGUGGUUGAAAGCGGCGGUCUUGAAAACCGUUGUCCUCGCAAGGGGACCGUGGGUUCGAAUCCUACCUCCUCCGCCA